GCUCGUAGUUGGAUUUCGGGCGUGGAGGUUCGGUCCGCCGUUUCGGUGUGCACUGUCUUUCUGCGUCUUUCUGUCGGGGACGCGCUUCUGGCCUUAAUUGGCUGGGACGUGGAUUCGACGAGGUUACUUUGAAAAAAUUAGAGUGUUCAAAGCAAGCUAAAGCUCUGAAUACAUUAGCAUGGAAUAACGCGAGAGGACUCGGUCCUUAUUUUGUUGGUCUUCAAGGAUGGAGUAAUGAUUAAGAGGGACAGUUGGGGGCAUUCGUAUUUCAUUGCUAGAGGUGAAAUUCUUGGAUUUAUGAAAGACGAACUUCUGCGAAAGCAUUUGCCAAGGAUGUUUUCAUUGAUCAAGAACGAAAGUUGGGGGCUCGAAGAUGAUCAGAUACCAUCCUAGUCUCAACCAUAAACGAUGCCGACUAGGGAUUGGCAGGUGUUACAUCGAUGACUCUGCCAGCACCUUAUGAGAAAUCAAAGUUUUUGGGUUCCGGGGGGAGUAUGGUCGCAAGGCUGAAACUUAAAGGAAUUGACGGAAGGGCACCACCAGGAGUGGAGCCUGCGGCUUAAUUUGACUCAACACGGGGAAACUUACCAGGUCCAGACAUAGUAAGGAUUGACAGAUUGAGAGCUCUUUCUUGAUUCUAUGGGUGG
rnacentral:rRNA from 1 species